UUGCAUCAAAAAAGCAAACUAAUGUAUAGCAUUAAACAAAUGCAACUCCCUCAGCCACAUCACAAUAAGAAGAAGAAGAAGAAGAAGAAGAAGAAGAAGAAGAAGAAGAAGAAGAAGAAGAGGAGGAGGAGGAGGAGGAGGAGGAGGAGGAGGAGGAAGAAGAACUACUGCUGGUAUUAUAAAUUGGACACAGGCGGAACUGGACAAUUUGUAAUGCUAGCAGUAUAUCUUAUGACAGGUAUGGCCCAGGUGUUUAUGGCCUUGAUGGUGUUGCCUCCAUUGAGCUUGCUUUUGAGAAUUUUUCUGACCCUUUGUGUGUAUUCUUUCCUUAUCACAGUUUUCACAUGUUCAUGCUUGAUGUUGUGCAGCUGUAAUAUGCCCAGAUAUUUAUAGGUCUCUGGCUGGUGACACUUUAUUGUUUGGCCAUUAGGCAUAUUUACGCCCUCAAUUUCAAUGAUUUUUCCCUUCUUCAAUGCCACUGUCGAACAUUUGUCCAAACCAAACUCCAUCCUGACAUCAGUGCUAAAAAUUCAGGCAGUGUUAGAGACUGGAUUUCAGUUUCUGUUUUCCCAUACAGCUUCAGGUCAUCCACGUACAUCAGAUGCGAAAUUUUGUGAUGAUCCAGCUGUGUGGGAGUGAGUCAAAGGACUUUUUGUAGUCAAUCCACGUCAUGUGAAGAUUAGCUUUUCGGCUUUUACAGUUCUCCAGAAUCAUUUUGUGAAUUAAUAACUGGUCUUUUGUGCCUCUUCAGCUUAACUUAGUUCUUCAGCUUAACUUAGUUGUAUGUUUCAGAAUUACUUCACUUAGUUUCAAACAGUUCCAACCAACCAAUCUAUCUAUUGGUCACAAAAACCCUUGCUCUAUAGACACGCGUUCCCCUGGGUUGUUAAUUAACUCUAACCUAGAGUCCUUCUAUUAACCAGCCCAGUAGUGAGAGUCAACCCCUUGAGUUAUCUUCCGCCAAGAGAUCCACACUGCCUGACCUAGCCUGUCAGUUUCCACAGCUUUUUUUUCUCUCACACACACACACUCCAAAACCGAACUGCUCUCUUCAAACCCUAAAACAGAACUCUCUGGAGCUCUUUUUUUUCUCUGCACUCUAAGACUUGGCUCCUCCCAUCCGCUCUGGUUGGCCAAUCCUAGGAGUCUCUCUCUAAGCUCCUCCCCCUUUCUAACCACACUCAAGAUGGCUGCCUGGCAUUCCUCAACAAAAUGGAGGCUUGCCUCACUCACUGUUACCAAGGCUCCAUUCUAGGCCUAAUAGGUAAGGUUCACUACAGUAACCCACUGGAUGGCCAUGGGUGAAUAGCACACACCUAGUCUCUGAGAAAGUUAAUGGCAACCCCUUCUGAACAAAUCUUGCCAAGAAAACUCUAUGAUAGGUUUGCUUUUGGUUGGCCAUAGGUUGGAAAUGAUUUGAAGGCAUCCAACAGCAAGAACAAAGUGAAAAUGAACAUGUCCAUUUAAAAGACAACAGCGAUUGUAUAUGUUCAUGUAUACAUUGACCUCAUGUAUAAGUCAAAGGCAGGUUUCGGGGUCAAAAUUGCAAAUGUUGAUAUGACUCAUACAUAAGUUGAGGGUCAUUCCAUAAAUAGCAGAAAGUGUGUCACCUCAGCUGCUCAUGGCUGCCUUUGCCAUUUCCCCACCCAAACAUUUAAUGAGGCCAGAAGCGGUGUCAUUGGUGGACAAAGCAGAGGGAAUCAAUGUGCCUUUUAUGUCCCCCUGGAAUGAACUAAGCUUUAACCUUUCAUCACCCUACUCAGCAAAAGAAAUAAUCCCUUUUUGAUAAGAUAAGAACUGAGAUAUGGUACUCACAUUGACCCAUGGAUAAAUCAACCCAGUUGGGGGUGGUCAGUUUUUGGACUACAAUAUCUGGAGUUACACAUGGGUUUAUGAGGUAAUUUAAUAGCGAAAGACUAUAAGCUGUUCUUAUCUUCUCAGUGGGUUAAACUCUUGUGCCGGCAGGACUGAUGACUUGAAAGUUGGGUUGCUGACCUGAAGGUUGCUGGUCCGAAUCCAACCCGGAGAGAGCGCAGAUAAACUCCCUCUAUCAGUUCCAGCUCCAUGCGGGGACAUGAGAGAAGCCUCCCACAAGGAUGGUAAAAACAUCAAAACAUCUGGGCAUCCCCUGGGCAAUAUCCUUGCAGAUAGCCAAUUCUCUCACACCAGAAACGACUUGCAGUUUCUCAAGUUCCUCCUGACCCCCCCCCCCCCAAAGAAAAGAACCU
rnacentral:lncRNA from 1 species